GCAGCCGCGGUAAUUCUAGCUCCAAUAGCGUAUAUUAAAGUUGUUGCAGUUAAAAAGCUCGUAGUUGAAUUUUAGGCUUGACCGGACGGUCCGUCUCUGGCGAGUACUGUUCUGUUGUCUGGUCUAUCCUUCUGGUGAGCCGGUAUGCCUUUCAUUGGGUGUGUCGGGGAACCAGGACCAUUACCUUGAAACUUUUGCUUGAAUAGAUUAGCAUGGAAUAAUAGAAUAGGACGUUGGUUCUAUUUUGUUGGUCUAGGACCACCGUAAUGAUUAAUAGGGAUAGUUGGG
rnacentral:rRNA from 1 species